AGCGAACGCUGGCGGCAGGCCUAAAACAUGCAAGUCGAACGCCGUAGCAAUACGGAGUGGCAGACGGGUGAGUAACACGUGGGAACAUACCCUUUGGUUCGGAACAACACAGGGAAACUUGUGCUAAUACCGGAUAAGCCCUUACGGGGAAAGAUUUAUCGCCAAAGGAUUGGCCCGCGUCUGAUUAGCUAGUUGGUGGCGUAACGGCCCACCAAGGCUACGAUCAGUAGCUGGUCUGAGAGGAUGAUCAGCCACACUGGGACUGAGACACGGCCCAGACUCCUACGGGAGGCAGCAGUUAGGAAUCUUGGACAAUGGGCGCAAGCCUGAUCCAGCCAUGCCGCGUGAGUGAUGAAGGCCUUA
rnacentral:rRNA from 1 species